rnacentral:rRNA from 1 species
UACGUAGGAUGCUAGCGUUGUCCGGAUUUACUGGGCGUAAAGCGCGCGCAGGCGGCACUGUAAGUAAGGUGUGAAAUCUCCCUGCUCAACGGGGAGGGUGCACUUUAGACUGCAGAGCUAGAGGACGGUAGAGGGGGGUGGAAUGCUGGUGUAGCGGUGAAAUGCGUAGAGAUCAGCAGGAACACCCGGUGGCGAAGGCGG